rnacentral:tRNA from 1 species
GCGGCAGUGCUGGAAUAGGCAGACAGGCAUGGUUGAGGGCCAUGUGUAUGUAUGUACGUGAGGGUUCAAGUCCCUCUUGCCGCACCA